AGAGUUUGAUCCUGGCUCAGGAUGAACGCCGGCGGUGUGCCUAAUACAUGCAAGUCGUACGCACUGGCCCAACUGAUUGAUGGUGCUUGCACCUGAUUGACGAUGGAUCACCAGUGAGUGGCGGACGGGUGAGUAACACGUAGGUAACCUGCCUCGGAGCGGGGGAUAACAUUUGGAAACAGAUGCUAAUACCGCAUAACAACAAAAGCCACAUGGCUUUUGUUUGAAAGAUGGCUUUGGCUAUCACUCUGGGAUGGACCUGCGGUGCAUUAGCUAGUUGGUAAGGUAACGGCUUACCAAGGCAAUGAUGCAUAGCCGAGUUGAGAGACUGAUCGGCCACAAUGGAACUGAGACACGGUCCAUACUCCUACGGGGGGCAGCAGUAGGGAAUCUUCCACAAUGGGCGCAAGCCUGAUGGAGCAACACCGCGUGAGUGAAGAAGGGUUUCGGCUCGUAAAGCUCUGUUGUUGGAGAAGAACGUGCGUGAGAGUAACUGUUCACGCAGUGACGGUAUCCAACCAGAAAGUCACGGCUAACUACGUGCCAGCAGCCGCGGUAAUACGUAGGUGGCAAGCGUUAUUCGGAUUUAUUGGGCGUAAAGCGAGCGCAGGCGGUUGCUUAGGUCUGAUGUGAAAGCCUUCGGCUUAACCGAAGAAGUGCAUCGGAAACCGGGCGACUUGAGUGCAGAAGAGGACAGUGGAACUCCAUGUGUAGCGGUGGAAUGCGUAGAUAUAUGGAAGAACACCAGUGGCGAAGGCGGCUGUCUGGUCUGCAACUGACGCUGAGGCUCGAAAGCAUGGGUAGCGAACAGGAUUAGAUACCCUGGUAGUCCAUGCCGUAAACGAUGAGUGCUAGGUGUUGGAGGGUUUCCGCCCUUCAGUGCCGGAGCUAACGCAUUAAGCACUCCGCCUGGGGAGUACGACCGCAAGGUUGAAACUCAAAGGAAUUGACGGGGGCCCGCACAAGCGGUGGAGCAUGUGGUUUAAUUCGAAGCUACGCGAAGAACCUUACCAGGUCUUGACAUCUUGCGCUAACCUUAGAGAUAAGGCGUUCCCUUCGGGGACGCAAUGACAGGUGGUGCAUGGUCGUCGUCAGCUCGUGUCGUGAGAUGUUGGGUUAAGUCCCGCAACGAGCGCAACCCUUGUUACUAGUUGCCAGCAUUAAGUUGGGCACUCUAGUGAGACUGCCGGUGACAAACCGGAGGAAGGUGGGGACGACGUCAGAUCAUCAUGCCCCUUAUGACCUGGGCUACACACGUGCUACAAUGGACGGUACAACGAGUCGCAAGCUCGCGAGAGUAAGCUAAUCUCUUAAAGCCGUUCUCAGUUCGGACUGUAGGCUGCAACUCGCCUACACGAAGUCGGAAUCGCUAGUAAUCGCGGAUCAGCAUGCCGCGGUGAAUACGUUCCCGGGCCUUGUACUCACCGCCCGUCA
rnacentral:rRNA from 1 species